UAGGCCAUCCAACCUGUUGGAGUACC
rnacentral:piRNA from 1 species